UGGGGAAUAUUGGACAAUGGGCGCAAGCCUGAUCCAGCAAUGCCGCGUGGAUGAAGAAGGUUUUCGGAUUGUAAAGUCCUUUCGGCGGGGACGAUGAUGACGGUACCCGCAGAAGAAGCCCCGGCUAACUUCGUGCCAGCAGCCGCGGUAAUACGAAGGGGGCUAGCGUUGCUCGGAAUGACUGGGCGUAAAGGGCGCGUAGGCGGAUUUGUCAGUCAGGCGUGAAAUUCCUGGGCUUAACCUGGGGGCUGCGUUUGAGACGGUGGAUCUAGAGUUUGGAAGAGGGUCGUGGAAUUCCCAGUGUAGAGGUGAAAUUCGUAGAUAUUGGGAAGAACACCGGUGGCGAAGGCGGCGACCUGGUCCUGGACUGACGCUGAGGCGCGAAAGCGUGGGGAGCAAACAG
rnacentral:rRNA from 1 species